ensembl:lncRNA
UUUCUGUUUCACGUCUAUUUAUAAUAUCUCAGGUGCAUGCAUUCUAUAACGUCACAGAGUAACAGAGUAAGAUGGCGCCAGCGUGUUGCACGGCUAGCCGUCGUUUCCCUAGGAUUUUAAUUUGUGUUUUGUUAGUAAUGUCCUUGUUUCCGUUGUUUGCUUUAUCCGUGUUGAGAUAUGAGCGCUCAGCACUUUUGGAUAUUCAAGCCUCAGUAAAUUCUGUGAGUUGCCGGCACUAUCAGCAUGAUUCUGACGGGCAUAGUUUCAACUUCCCUGAGCUCCUAUGGUCCAUACCACCGGAGCUAUCCCGUCUGUACUGCGGCUCAAUCUUUAAAAAGAAGCGGCAAAAAAGACGGGGAAAGCGCAGCGGGAGGCUAGUGAAGAACGUGAGAAACGCACGCGAAAUCUGCGCAAACAAUCUGGAUCUACGAACGUGGCUCCUACCGGUGUACCCUGAUCAGUCUGCUCCAGUAUUCCGGCCUUUCCUGCGACAUCGACGAACUGUCAACGGACAGCGUUAUCUGAAGGAGUUGAAAUAUUCGGCGAUAAUGCAUCAGCAAUCCACGGAUCACAUCACAGUUAAAGCUGCGCUGUUGAAUGUGAGGUCAGUGGGAAAUAAAACUUUUAUACUUCAAGAUUUUACUGUUUCACAAAAUCUGGAUUUUUUGUUUCUAACUGAGACAUGGCUUGAGCCGAUGCAUACCUGCCUUCUUUCUGAACUGUUGCCAGUGAACUAUAAUGUUUUAAAUACUCCCAGAUCCUCUGGUCGUGGCGGGGGUGUCGCCACACUUUUUAAGGACAGCUUCAAAUGCACCUUAAUUCCACUGGAGAAAUAUACAAGCUUUGAACUUCAGCUCCUUAAAGUGGAACUAUCAUUCACAGUUUAUUGUGCUUUUAUUUAUCGCCCUCCAAAGUAUGACAAGGAUUUCAUCCAGGAUUUCUCAGAUUUUCUUUCUUUUAUUGUGCCAACUGCUGAUAAUCUUUUAAUUCUCGGGGACUUUAACAUUCAUAUAUGCUGCCCAUCUAAACCUUUAGUAAACCAGUUUUCUGACCUUGUUGACUCUUUUAACUUAAUACAGUCAGUAUGUGAUGCUACUCACAGGCAUGGUCAUACCCUUGAUUUAGUUCUGUCCUGGGGGCUAUCUGUUAGUAAUGUGUCUGUAGUGGACAACUGUAUAUCCGAUCAUAGUUCUGUUAUAUUUCACUUUGAUCUUCCAUCUGUUAUCUCAAAAAGCAAACCUGUAGUCCGUUGU